GACAGAGGGUGCAAACGUUGUUCGGAAUUACUGGGCGUAAAGCGCGUGUAGGCGGCACUACAAGUCGGAUGUGAAAUCCCCGCGGCUUAACCGUGGAAGUGCACCCGAAACUGUAGAGCUAGAGUCCCGGAGAGGAUGGUGGAAUACUUGGUGUAGAGGUGAAAUUCGUAGAUAUCAAGUGGAACACCGGUGGCGAAGGCGGCCAUCUGGACGGUGACUGACGCUGAGACGCGAAAGCGUGGGUAGCAAACAGG
rnacentral:rRNA from 1 species